CAGUAGCCGCGGGAAUACAGAGGGUGCAAGCGUUAAUCGGAAUUACUGGGCGUAAAGCGCGCGUAGGUGGUUUGUUAAGUUGGAUGUGAAAGCCCCGGGCUCAACCUGGGAACUGCAUCCAAAACUGGCAAGCUAGAGUACGGUAGAGGGUGGUGGAAUUUCCUGUGUAGCGGUGAAAUGCGUAGAUAUAGGAAGGAACACCAGUGGCGAAGGCGACCACCUGGACUGAUACUGACACUGAGGUGCGAAAGCGUGGGGAGCAAACAGGAUUAGAGACCCGAGUAGUCCCUGUCUCUUAUAC
rnacentral:rRNA from 1 species